UACAGUGGCCAUACCACGUUGAAAACACGAUCUGUCAAGUUAAGCAACGUUGGGCUUGGUUAAUACUAGGAUCGGAGACGGUCUGGGAAUCCCAAGUGCUGUAAGCU
rnacentral:rRNA from 1 species